rnacentral:rRNA from 1 species
GACGAACGCUGGCGGCGUGCCUAAUACAUGCAAGUAGGACGCAGUUGCGAACGGGUGAGUAACGCGUAGGUAACUACCUAUUAGAGGGGGAUAACUAUUGGAAACGAUAGCUAAUACCGCAUACUAGUAGAUGGACCUGCGUUGUAUUAGCUAGUAGGUGGGGUAAUGGCCUACCUAGGCAACGAUACAUAGCCGACCUGCGAGGGUGUUCGGCCACACGGGUACUGAGACACGGCCCGGACUCCUCCGGGAGGCAGCAUUAGGGAUUUUUCGGCAUUGGGGGGACCCCUGACCGAGCAACGCCGCGGAGUUGAGGAAGGUUUUCGGUUCGUAAAGCUCUUUUUUUAAGGAAACGGUACUUAACCAGAAAGGGACGGCUAACUACGUGCCAGCAGCCGCGGUAAUUC